rnacentral:rRNA from 1 species
AGCGAACGCUGGCGGCAUGCCUAACACAUGCAAGUCGAACGAGAUCUUCGGGUCUAGUGGCGCACGGGUGCGUAACGCGUGGGAAUCUGCCCUUUGGUUCGGAAUAACAGUUGGAAACGACUGCUAAUACCGGAUGAUGACGAAAGUCCAAAGAUUUAUCGCCAGAGGAUGAGCCCGCGUAGGAUUAGCUAGUUGGUGUGGUAAAGGCGCACCAAGGCGACGAUCCUUAGCUGGUCUGAGAGGAUGAUCAGCCACACUGGGACUGAGACACGGCCAAGAGUCCUACGGGAGGCAGCAGUGGGGAAUAUUGGACAAUGGGCGAAAGCCUUAUCCAGCAAUGCCGCGUGAGUGAUGAAGGCCUUAGGGUUGUAAAGCUCUUUUACCCGGGAUGAUAAUGACAGUACCGGGAGAAUAAGCUCCGGCUAACUCCGUGCUAGCAGCCGCCGUAA